UGUGACUGGUGUUCAGACUUGUGGUAUUGUUUGUCUAGAAGACGGAGGGCUGAGUGCUUCUGGUGUUUUUCCGAAGUCCUGUGGAUUUAUGAUUGGAACGGGGCUCAUUAAUAAUCUGAAAUAGUGAAGUUUGUAUGUGGAAAGAAGAGUUUAAUCCCAGAGAAUUGAGACAUUUGGGAAGAAGAUUAGGAAAAGAUAGUAAAAACCUGCAAUAAAAAGGUUUGCGUGGAAAUUGAAACAAGGGACAGUAACUAAUAUAAAUAAAUAAAAGGGAAUGGGAAAUCAAGGAAAUGGGUAAUAUCCAAAACAAAGACGUUUUAAAGAAAGCCUCCUUGGGUGCAUAUUGGCACAUUGGAAGGAUAUUGUUAGAAAUGGGGGCACAGAAAGCAAGAGGACUUUCACUAAGUAUUGCAAUCAAUGGUGGCCACUAUAUAAACUAAAUGGCCACUUUAUGGGUCAAUCGACUAUAACAGUGUCUUGCAAUUAAUGUUGUUUUUGAGGAGAGAAGGGAAAUAGGAUGAAAUGUUGUAUACUGAUACUUUGUUUCAGCAUCGUGGAGGGAAAAGGUAUGGAAUUAAGUUGGCCCCUGACUGAGCCUUUGGUGUUGGCAUUAGAAAAGUACAGGCUGGAGGAAGAUAAAGCAAGUGUUAAAAGGGUUGUUGAAGGUGUUAAAGGUUGCGUGGCAUGUAGUAUUUAACAGAGCUGUUUGAAGCUGAAUGAGCAGGGAAAGAGGAUGUAGGAAUGCUAAUAGUUCUGCCUCCACCCGAGGCUGAGAUCUCUAAAUCGCGGGUGUGAGCCCUCUGGGGCAGAGGGACCGUGAUGGGUCCGAGAGAGUUGUCGUGGAAACAGAAAAGCAGCUAACUCUUAAAACAACCUGAG